rnacentral:rRNA from 1 species
UACGGAGGGUGCAAGCGUUAUCCGGAUUCACUGGGUUUAAAGGGUGCGUAGGCGGGCAGGUAAGUCAGUGGUGAAAUCCUUGAGCUUAACUCGAGAACUGCCAUUGAUACUAUCUGUCUUGAAUAUUGUGGAGGUAAGCGGAAUAUGUCAUGUAGCGGUGAAAUGCUUAGAUAUGACAUAGAACACCUAUUGCGAAGGCAGCUUACUACGCAUAUAUUGACGCUGAGGCACGAAAAGCGUGGGGGAUCAAACAGG